AAAGAAUCAUUAAGAUAUACGGAACCACCAAAAUGAAACAGCAAACUUUCGAGGGAUUUCCCGUUUCCUUCUUCAGAACAACAAAAAGAAUAGACCCACAUUCAACAUCGUCACUUCUGUGGUUCUAUGUCAUCAGUUUCUGCAACAUGGAUGACUGUGGAUGGUAGAAGAGGAAAUAUUCGCGUUUCUGAUAUCCACCCAAACCCAAGAGCCGUGUCAUCACACUUCAAUCAACAAGAAACGGAUGAGUCCAACCCCCGCUACGUGAAGAACCAUUCAGCAAUCAACAACAUCGAUCAAAGGCUGCUAUAUCCACACAGAACUUUUCAAUCCUGACACGACGAAAAGUAGAUAUUUGACUUGGAAAUAACGUUCUCUAAAUUAAAUUUUUGAAAGAAAAUUAAGCUUAAGUAAUCGCCUGAGGUGGAACAACUCCCCUGAAUCCAUAGAUACUUAUAAUUCCAUAAAUUUUAAAUCGAAGGAACCUGUGGAGUAUUUUUGUUCUGCUUUGAAUAAUUAAUUGGUGUAGCUGAACUUAAAUUGACACCCAAUAUUUUUACACUCUGAAGUCGGCAAUGUGAUGAAAUAAAUUAUCAAAUGUGAUGGAAACAUUAAUGAAAUAAGUAAUGAAAGUAGUGAUUAUGUAGACAAUCGAUUAACUGAUAAAAUAAGACGUGAAAUUAGAAAUGAAAUUAGUCAUAAAGUAAAUAAUGAAACAUGUAUAAUUAAACAGAUCAUGAAAUAAAUAAUAAAAUGAGUGGUGAAAUAAAUAAUGAAAGGAAUGUUAAUGAUUACUCAAGAUACGAAAUAAGUCGUCCAGAACCUAAAGCUCUUUAACGUGUAAACUUAACAAGCUAAAAGAACCUAAGCAUAUGUACUAACGUGUUCAGUAAUAAAAUAAGCAGUAAGCAUACAAAUCGCAGACAGACUGGAUUCUGGCAAGAUGGCUUCCAGUACAGAAAGACCGUCUGGAUUUUCUCCCUACGGCUCCAAGACUAAACAAGCUGAAGUUCGCCCUGACCACGUUUCUCAAAGAUUACAAAAGAAUUUUGCUGCAGAAUCGAGAUCCAGAACAAGUUCAGCUUACAGAUGAACUACAAGAGUAUUUCUCUCUAGGCCAAGACAUCUUUGUAAGUAUAACGUCACAGUACUAA